UGUAUAUUGCCCGUCUAAAUGUAUUGAAAGCAUUCUUAUCGAUACUUCAAACUUGAAUAAUGCUGCUGGAAUGAGACAAAUAAAAAUAAUUAUACUAAUAAAAAUCAAGUAAGAUGGUUACAUUACUAUUUUAGGUGAUUUUAUUUCAAUAAAAUGAUAAUUAUAGGUAACCAAAAUUUCUAUUUGAUUAAGUUUUAAUUUGGUCCCUUGAUCUUGAAAUAGACAACUAUUUUAAUGGUUUUUCAGUUGUUAACAACGUCACCUCCUUGUUUCAUCACGUUGUGUCGAUAAAAUAACACAUAACAUUUUUUAGUAUAAAACUACAAACAUGUUCAUCAUAAAUUUGACCAUUCAAGUUUAAGUUCAAUUUUGUAUUUGGUUCAUGUCUCUCAGUUAUUGCAUGACUGCAGUCCUCUAAAUUUACAAUUUUUUUUUUAUAAUUUUGUAUUGAAAAUUUUGAAUUUCAUUUCGAAUUAAAAACGCCUAAAAUUAUGGCCUGGAAAAAGAAUAAAAUGUUUGAAGAAUGUUAUCUUAAUUUGGAAAUUUUAUAUCACAAUAAUAAACACAUUUCCUGUAAAAUGUUGGAUCACAAGCAGUCUCUUUCUUACUUGCUCACUAUUAUUGAUAUUCGUAUUAUUGUACAUUUUCAUGCACAUGUCUUCUAUGUUUACAAGUCGCAUGUUCUUUUCAACAAGAUGUUUUUACCAUGUGAAGAUAUUAUAAAAAAUAAACUUUAUGGUGCACCCAUGGAAAGCGCACUAGCAAUUAUUUUUUAUUUUAAAAACUAUUAAUAAUCAGUCUCCAGUUCUAAGUAUUGAUUUGGUUGCUAGAGGGUGCAUUGUGGAAACAUUUUGGUAUUGGUCCUGGAUUAGAAAAAAAAACAGGAAGAAAAUAAAAUUAAAAAUAGAGGGAAAGGGGGAAAUGUUUGUUGGUGGCAUCUUCAGCGGAAUGUGCUUGGGUGUGAGAGAGAGUGAGAGAGAGAUAGGGCCACCAACCAAUGCCACAGCAAUUUUGGCAGACAAGAAACUACCAGCGUCAGGAGAGGAAAGAAGGGGGGGGGGAAAUAAAUAAAAAAUUAAAAAAACCCAACCUCGAAGGAACAUACGAGAACAAAACAUAAAAGGGGGAAGGGAAACGC
rnacentral:lncRNA from 1 species